UAUUUAAACUUUAACUUAUAUUAGCAAUUAACUCAAUAGAUGAGUUAUGAAAAAUUAGGAGCGUUGAAUCUGUUUUGUACUUCUUAAAUUCGUUUUGGAUGUUCUAAGCAUACUUAAUUUUUUAAAGAAUUUUCUUAUCCAUCCUCAGUUGAUGUUUCUUCUCAGUUGCAUAUAUUUAUUUUAAAUAUGGGAUAUCAAAAUCACUUAACCCUUCAGUACCCACGUUCUUUUUAGUGUCUCACUUGCACUGCAGCGACAUCCUAUAAGUUGAAUGUUGUUGCGUGAGAAAAAUUCUUAUAGCGAGGUACUGAAGGGUUAAUAAUUUCCAGUGCUGCUAUAUAGAAUAUUCUUCGUUAUCCGUACGGUAAAUCUUACCGGCUUUGCUAGAUGGCAGUUUGCUUGCUAUGAAUAUCCAAAUUUUUUUUUCAAAGUUAAGGGCCAGCUUUUCAAACCAUGUCUUUUGUUAAAACCGAGUUUAUUCCUAUGUUGAGAUAAGAGAAAUAAGAAAAAAUAAGCCUGAUCAGGUUAAAGAACUGAAGUUAAAUUAAAAUUUAAAUAUAUGUUUACUCUUCGCGGUAAAGCAACACAUGUGAACGUUAAAAAGUAUUUGACAAAUUAUAUCACUUUUAUGAAAAUUCAGUUAAUUUAGAAGAGUCCAGCUGUAGAAGUACAAUAUAGUCAUUUCUGCAUUCAUGUUCGUUGAGCCGAAACACAACUGAAUAGUUGGAAGAGCUGGCAACACCGCCAAUGUCUGCUAGGUUCAAGGGUACAGACAAACAGGAGGUCGGUCUUACGUAGUAAAACUAAGUAAAAGGAUGGCGAAGGCAAAGUAAGAAGCGAUAGUGUUGAAGGGGAGUGGAGUCAAAGGAAGAAGUCGAUCGAGAUAUACUGCAUCCGUACCAUGGACUGAUCUUUCAUUCGUGAUACCAAAAAGAAACUUAAAAGUCCGACUCUGGCAGAUGGUUAAUUUUAAAAUCUCAAAACCACGUCAUAUAAAUAGCGUGACGUCAUGAGUUGACGGCCUGCUGCGUUUUAUUAUCCACUGUUGCAACAGAUGAGUAACUUUAAUUCUCUUUCAAGCCCUAUCUUCUAUAACGUUUUUUGCUUUGUUCGUUUGAUCCAUUACUUAUGAUUUUUUUUAAGGUUUCAUUACGCUGAAAAAUUUAAGUUUUUGAUAAAAUUUCAGUGUCGACAUCAAAAUAUAUAAUUCUACCUAAUCAAUGCAAUAUAUCACACUUAUGAGAGAUAUUCCAAGUGAACAGAAUAAUAAAUUGCAUUAAAUCUAAAUAGGUUCUAUUUCUGAAUCUGCACUAAUUUUUUUGUUUUAUUUAAUAGAAUAAAACAUUAUUAACUUAUUUUAAUCUUCAAUUUAUCAGAACAUACACAUUGAACACAUAAACGGAACAUCUGCUCAAACAAACAAUGGAGUUCAAAUAGGUAAAAGUAGAAGUGGAGAGGAAUAGAAAAAGACAGAGAAGUGCAUCUGUUGUAAGCACCUGACGCACAGCAGGUGAAUUGCGUCAGGUGCUCUUCCUCUUGUGCAAGCCUAACGGACAAUUCCUCAGUGCAUGCCCGCAAACAAAGAGGAGAGAAAUUUACCACCUUAUUUUCCCUUGUUCUUCUGUACUGAGUGAGUCACUGCGUUCAAGUAUAUUAUAUACAUGUAUUAUGAAUGUACUUAUAAAUUUUUAUUUUAAGUACUUAAUGAAUUAACACGCUAUUUUUUAUAAAUAAAUUCACCCCUAUCACUAUUAUAUGCAAAUUUAGUUACACCUGAUGUCUUUGAAGAAAUAACUGAGACUUUAAGUUUAAGUACGAAUAAAAAUAAAGUCUGUCGAUGGUAAAGUAUUUGAGCGUUGCAUGUGUUUAAAACUCACGCAAUACAGUGACAUACACGAGAAAAUACCUUCCGUAGAUUUAACGGGGACACGCGAGAUCGCGUUUUAACAUGCGUUUUGUCACACCCGGUGGCAGUAAAAAGACUGAGAGAAAUAAGACAGAGACACAGCACUGUGCCAUUAAAAAUUCCGGUUUCGUUGUUGGUGCAAUUUAUAUUAGUCGCUUGAAAAGAAAUUCCAUAUAUAAAAUUAAAAAAAAAAAAACACUUAAGUGCGCAAACGUUCAUAUCAUCACUUAUGUUUUGAGGACCUUUAACAUAAUCCCGAAAAAUAUUUACAAUUUUUUUCCUUUGAUAC